rnacentral:lncRNA from 1 species
UCAUUCUGAAGAGUAGUAUUUCUGUUUUUCAAUUUUUGUUUGCAUGAAAGCCAUACGUUUUGCCCGAAACGUAAUGGUCAAUUGUAAGGGCCAUCUCAUGUGUUUCAUUAUGCAACAUUUUGCAUCAGUAAUGAAUGGAUGUUUUUGUAGUUAAAAGCGGUGUUCCCUGUUUUUCAUUUAAUUUUGCAAACAAAAAAAAAACAACAAAUAAAAAUGGCAACGUUUUUUAUUCUCUUUCCUUUUGAUUUUGUCUCGUUCCAAAGUGAUUACUCUCCUGAUCUCACCGAUAACGAUUUGGUUACACCUCUAUAUGACUUCGACGAUCCAAGCUAUCAUGCCAAGGAAGAAGGCGCAGAAGAUUGUGAUUUGCUGGAAUUAGCCAGGUCAUUGAAACAAGAGGAGAAGGUGAUUCAACCACACGAGGAGCGAUUCAAGAUUGUUACUCCAAGCUCCGCCGAGGUUAGAAAGCAAAAGCUGAGGCCGACAAAGGAUGAGAAAGAGAGAAGGUGUGAAUAGACUAUCAAGAUGCGAGCAGAGCUAAUCUGAAAGAUGGAUUCCCGGUACAUCACAAUGAGG